GGAGGGAGGAUAAGGAGCGAGAGAUUUCAGAGUUGAAGCUCCUUCAUGAGACGAAGGUUUUCCAGCUGACGGAGCGCAUUGAGGAGCUGUCUCACUCGCUGCAGGCUGAGGUCAGUCAGAAGGAGGUGCAGAGACAUGGAGACACAGAGAGGAGUCUCCAGUCCGUCAGUCAGGCUGUGGUCAAACUGUCCAGAGUCCUGAGCAGCAGCAGUCGGUCAGUGAGUGUCUCCACAGACAGCGUCCUCAGUCUGGAUCUGUCCUCCCUGCUGUCCGUCCUGUCUCAGGCUGAGAGC